rnacentral:tRNA from 1 species
UUAAUUGAAGCCAAGAUUGAGGCAUCUUAAUGUUAAUAAGAUAAUUGAAUAUAUUUUCCAAUUAAU